rnacentral:misc_RNA from 1 species
GAUGAAGAACGUACCGAAAUGCGAUACGUAAUGUGAAUUGCAGAAUUCAGUGAAUCAUCGAAUCUUUGAACGCAUAUUGCGCUCUCUGGUAUUCCGGAGAGCAUGCUUGUUUGAGUAUCAGUAAACACCUCAACUUCCAUAUCUUUUUUUGAAAUGGGAGUUGGACUUGAGUGAUCCCAACGCUUUUCCUCACCGAAAAGUGGCGGGUUACUUGAAAUGCAGGUGCAGCUGGACUUUUCUCUGAGCUAUAAGCAUAUCUAUUUAGUCUGCCUAAAAAACAGAUUAUUACCUUUGCUGCAGCUAACAUAAAGGAGAUUAGUUCUUGUGCUGACUGAUGCAGGAUUCACAAAGACAGCUUCGGCCGACUUUGUAAACUCGAUCUCAAAUCAAGUAAGACUACCCGCUGAACUUAAGCAUAUCAAUAAGCGGAGGA